rnacentral:misc_RNA from 1 species
GGCUCUCCAAAAUUUGAGUGAGAAAGUGACCCAAUAAUUUCUAUCUAUUCGAGGUACUAUAAUAACAGCAUUGAUGCUGAGAAGUGUGAAUAAUAUAAAUUACAGCUACCAAAAAUGUUAGUUCCAUUAUGAGUGCAUGGAAUUUAGCAACUUCAGAGCCAGUUCUUCUUGCUCUGCCAAAGAUAUAGCAUCAGCAGCAAUACCAUCUUUAGCCAUGUUCCCUUUCCUCUUGUCAUCCUCGUCGUCACUGUCGAAAUAUAUCUUUGUUUUCUUGUCGACUCUACCUCUGGGGAUUUCCAUGUCUGACCCAGAGAGUUCUUCAUCUUCCUCCUCUUCUUCCUCUCUCCCUCUCUUAUUCUUCAUCUUCUCCCUGAUUCGUUUUUCUUUGCGACGUUUGCGGUCCAAAUCCUUGUCUUCUUUGUCAGCCAUCUUCAGGUUCUUUCUUAACUCAGCAUAUCUCUGAUUUACUUUUUCUUUGUUGAGUUGAACAGAGUCUGCACCGCUGCUUGAGGCUGCUAAUCUUGCAAGAGGAGGUAAGGUGUUCCCUUCCUCAUCAAACACAACCCUUGUCCCUACUGGUCUGUGGACAUUGAUCUUUAGUUUCUUUUUCUUCGUAAUUCUAGUGGCC